UACGAAGGGGGCUAGCGUUGCUCGGAAUGACUGGGCGUAAAGGGCGCGUAGGCGGUUUGUACAGUCAGAUGUGAAAUUCCCGGGCUCAACCUGGGGGCUGCAUUUUGAUACGUGCGGACUUGAGUGGGGAAGAGGGUCGUGGAAUUCCCAGUGUAGAGGUGAAAUUCGUAGAUAUUGGGAAGAACACCGGUGGCGAAGGCGGCGACCUGGUCCUUGACUGACGCUGAGGCGCGAAAGCGUGGGGAGCAAACAGG
rnacentral:rRNA from 1 species